UACGGAGGGUGCAAGCGUUAUCCGGAUUCACUGGGUUUAAAGGGAGCGUAGGUGGGCUGGUAAGUCAGUGGUGAAAUCCCCGAGCUUAACUUGGGAACUGCCAUUGAUACUAUCAGUCUUGAAUACUGUGGAGGCUAGCGGAAUAUGUCAUGUAGCGGUGAAAUGCUUAGAUAUGACAUAGAACACCAAUUGCGAAGGCAGCUGGCUACACAAAUAUUGACACUGAGGCUCGAAAGCGUGGGAUCAAACAGG
rnacentral:rRNA from 1 species